CUAGUCAACAGGGAGGCAUUUUCCAAAGGUUUUUGCCCACGUCCUGGAAGAUGACUUGAAUACAAUUCGGAAAAAAAAGAAUUACAGAAUUUGAGAGUGGGAAGGGUCCUCAGUGGCCAUUUGUCCAACCCAUACCCUACAGGAAGCCCCACUGGAAUGUCCCAAGAAGUAGCCAUCCAACCUUUGCUGGAAGAACUCCAAGAAGGAGGAGGCCAUCCUACUGUUGGGCUAAUUUAUCUGAAAGGCUGUUGCUUGAGAAGGGCUUGGACUUAUUCUGCCUGGUCCCAGACGACAGAACCAAGAGUCAUGAGUGCACAGAGGACAAUUUGG